GCAGCAAGUGUUUCCACCAAUAAAAUAAAAAGAAUUGAUUUCAUCCAGAAGAACUGUUUGAACUGUGGACUGUUUGAAAUAUUUUGCACCUGCUCAGAAAUCCCUUCACAGCCUGCCUUUGAAUUUGAAAAGCUGUUUUUAAUUAAAUAAAUUUUCUAGAUAAAUAA